ensembl:rRNA 5S_rRNA 5S ribosomal RNA
GUCUAUGGCCAUACCACCCAGAUCGUGCCCCAUCUCGUCUGAUCUUGGAAGCUAAGCAGGGUCAGGCCUGGUUAGUACUUGGAUGGGAGACUGCCGGGAAUACCGGGUGCUGUAAGCU